UACAGAGGUCUCAAGCGUUGUUCGGAUUCAUUGGGCGUAAAGGGUGCGUAGGUGGCGUCGUAAGUCAGGUGUGAAAUCUCGGAGCUUAACUCCGAAACUGCAUUUGAUACUGCGGUGCUUGAGGACUGGAGAGGAGACUGGAAUUUACGGUGUAGCAGUGAAAUGCGUAGAGAUCGUAAGGAAGACCAGUGGCGAAGGCGGGUCUCUGGACAGCUCCUGACGCUGAGGCGCGAAGGCUAGGGAGCAAACGGG
rnacentral:rRNA from 1 species